AUUGAACGCUGGCGGCAGGCCUAACACAUGCAAGUCGAGCGAGCGGCGGACGGGUGAGUAAUGUCUGGGAAACCGCCUGAUGGAGGGGGAUAACUACUGGAAACGGUAGCUACUACCGCAUACCAUCAGAUGUGCCCAGAUGGGUUGAGCUGGUGGGUGGGGUAAUGGCUCACCUAGGCGACGAUCCCUAGCUGGUCUGAGAGGAUGACCAGCAACACUGGAAAUGGGACACGGUCCAGACUCCUACGGGAGGCAGCAGUGGGGAAUAUGGCACAAUGGGCGCAAGGCUGAUGCAGCCAUGCCGCGUGUGUGAAGAAGGCCUUCGGGUUGUAAAGCACUUUCAGCGAGGAGGCGUUACCCGCAGAAGAAGCACCGGCUAACUCCGUGCCAGCAGCCGCGGUAAUUC
rnacentral:rRNA from 1 species